AAGAGGAGAGGUGGAGGUUGUGCUGUGAGGAGUAGUAAUGGGCAGGUGGUCGUGCAAGGGACAGGAAGGAGCCAGUGUUGUGAGGAGCUGCCUGUAGGAAUUCACAGAGAGCAGGUAUGAAAGCUUUCCAGUAAGAUAAUAAACUGGUGCCAAGCACUGACAUCAGCAAUUGGUGGCCUGUAUGGGGAUGAGUCCUGACAGAGAGGAUGAAGAGGAUGCAGUUCAGUAUGACACAACCACAAACUGGAAAUGGUGGACUCUUAUGUUUCUGCACAGCUACAGGUGCUGAUUAUGGGUUGCUAAUCCUGACUCCUACUCACUUUGGGUGCAUGAAUGGAGGAGGACUGGCAGAGCCCAGGGACUCUGUGUGCUUAUGAAUAGUGGCAGGAAAAGACCCCUUCCCACACAAGUAGCACUCUGCCAGCAGUGCAAGGGGAUAACUUCAGGAAAUCCUGUGGCAAAAGAAGGCAGAGGAGUUCCCCAACGAGGCUACGCCAGAAGCACAACUGUGCUGGGGUACAAGAAAUAGAUGACUUCAGCACACACUGGCCUGAGUCAUUAUAUUUCAUUGCUGGCAGAUGCAAGAAUUUUUUUGGGCAGAAAAUUCUGUAGGAUCUGCCCAGUCCAUGUAGAGAGUGCAAAGCCUGAGUUUUGUCCCUAGUUUUGAAGUCUCAGCCCAGAUCACUCAGUGCCUUAAGAAGUUUGUGCAUAUGUGAUUUCUAGCCAGUGUUGUAAAAGUAUAAAUCACUUGUAAUGGGUUUCUGCAAACAGCUUUGCAACAAUCAGGCUGUUGAUCUGCUCUUCACAGAUCAAUAUCUCUGGAAAAUGCUGUUUUAUUGCCUCAGAUACCAAUCCAGGAUUCAAGGAAGGAGCUGGAGGUGGCAAGAAGGGCAGGACCAAAGAGGCCUCACAGAGCACCAAAUGAGCAUCAAUCACAGCCUCCUUAUCAGAAACACAAUGCCAUGAAAGAGCUAUCGAGCACAGUAAUCCAGAGCAGCGUCUGAGUCAGGAAGUCUCUGUGUCCUUAAUUUCCAGAAACUGAGAGGAAACCAAGGGGCAAAUAAAAAAUACCACUUCCUCCAUGCCCUGGUUUUGGUGCUCCUUGGUAAAGCAUCCUCCAGUGACAACUGGAUAUGGGGCUGCUUAUGGCUUUGAUCUGACACAGAGGGGUGUUUUUGUUCUUAGAAGAUACUGUCACUAUCCUCCUCUGAUUUUACCCACAGGAACAAAAUCAUAGAUAUGAAACCAUAUCCUACAAGUAAAUAAGUCCAUGCACUUUGAGGAGCAGAACAGACACUUCAUUUGCUCAGCUAGACUGGGAAUUAAAAAACCCCAUUUUUUCAAACAGUCUCUGAAGUUAAGCCCCCUCCCUGAAGUUUACUGCAUGAGCCAAGAGAAGGAGACCAUUCUUCCUAACAAUGCCCUUUCAGCUACUUUGAUGCUAAAAAUAAAAAAAUGUUUGAUAGCUAUCCAAGCAAAGAAGGUGAAAACAGUAAUUUCCAGCUUUUCUUAAGCUCUUUGGCUAUAUACAUUUGAUAAAAGCCCAGCAGAUGAAGUCAGUUUUUGGGUUUUUUCCUGCUUUUUAUGCCUAUAAACUCCCUUUCACUUCUCUGAAGCCUGGACAGUUAGGAUUGAAAAUGUCUGCUCAUUAAUAGACUUGCAGAGCAAUAGUACAUUUUCAGCAGAGAUAAUGCAUAUUCCUGAUACUUACUGGAGUUUAUGGUUAAGCUAAAUUUAUUUUGUGGCUGCCAGAAGAGUGCCUGCCUGAGGACAAUAGCUAGAAUUAUUUUCUUAGUGUUGCCAGUCACACAUUACCCAUUUAAGAUAAGGCUGGGGAAUAAAUCUCAUGGUAACAUUUCACCAUUGAUUUAUAAAGGUGUUUCUCCUUGGGAUCUGCUUUUGCAGCACCAGUGGCAGGGUUGAAACGGAACUUGCAACUCUCCUGAGUUGGUGAAACAAUUAAAUCAAACUGAACUUUUUUUUGUUGUUGGAACUGUUUCUUUUGUUAGGCUUUGAAGAAAGGAAUUUUUUCAAACAGAAAUGCAUUUUCAAUUCUGUUGAAGAAUGGAAUUCUGAAAACGGAAGUUUUGGGAGCCCUGCAUUCAAGCACUGUAAGUGCUGUAAAAGAGUUAAAGAGUCCCACCCCUUAGGGACGGGACUGCCCAGGAGGUGUCAUUUCUAAAGACACACAGUGCUCCUUGGAUCCCUGCAUCACCUUCCCUGGCCAGGCGUGGAGAUCACAGCAUGUGAAGAUCUAUCCCCGACCUCUGCUCCCAGGACUAUUUCCACAGUGUCUGAAAUGUUAGUUUUAAUUUGUGAGUAAAAAUGCAUUGUUUUCUGUAAUGGAAAAAAAGAGGGGGAAAAACCCAACAACCCUUCCAGUUUUCCAGGCAGCUCUAUUUUGAUAAUUUCAACUUCUACCAGUUCCAUAUCCUUUUAUUAAGAUAAUCAAUGGCACUGGUGCUGUGAAAAAGAGACCAUGCUGGUGUAAGAGGCAGGGUUUGUGAUUCUCUUGCUGACAGGCAAGUCUUCAGUUACUCCAGACUAAAACUUUUCCUGCCAGACGAGUGCUGGCUGCUGCACUGAGUCUGUGAUGGGUCGGUGAUGAUAAAUAACUUGUGCUGACUGGGAUGGAGGCUAUUGCAGUUGGUUUUCCUUGUUCUUAAGUAAGAACUUGAACCCGAGACUCUGGGAGAAAACUACUGUGUAUUUACUCUGCUACCAAGAUCUCUUUUUCAAAAUCCGGUGUCAGUGGCAGGAAGUUCAGCCAACACACUGAUUUGUGAGCACAUUUCUCUUCUCAAACAGAUUGUGUAGACUCUCUAUAGAUAAUAUACUGCACCUUUGAAGGAACACUAACAUGAGAAAGUAUUACAGCAUUCCAGAAAUAUCUAAUCAUUGCUGAUAAAUUUUAUUUGCCACUUGUGUGCAUUAUUAUGACAGAUUCCUCCUUAAAGCCAAGGACAGCUGAAGUCUACACAGGCCAAACUCAAAGCCUUCAGUGUUUUGCUUCACACUUUUCUUACUGGAUGUAAAAAUCUUAAAGGGGCUGCUGGAAUCCAACCCAGGAUUGGAUUAAUGCUUAAACAUUAAAGAGGUUAAGCAAAAUGUAAAUAAAAAGGUGUCUUUUUCUAAUGAAUGAGGACACUUGGGGUGAUUUAAUGAGCAUUUUUAAGAGGUUUAGGUUUUAAAGUAAAAAAUAAGUAGUUUUCAAAAAUACAGAAGAGAAGUGGUCUUUUGACCACCUCACCACAGUGCUCUGCAUUGG